rnacentral:lncRNA from 1 species
CCACAAUAGGAUAAGGCCAGACCAACAAGCCGACCUUCAUCGUCAUGCAGUUUGAGGUCAAAGGCUAGCUGUCUUAGCUGACCGAUUAGUCCCAUCCGAGGAAGAUGCAAGUGCUUUUUGACCCUAUGAUCAGGAAGAGAUUCCACCCCAGGUAAUUUUUCUCCCUGUCGCUAUUCUGCUCGUGAUGGUGAAAUGGAGAGAAAGCUCCAAGAGAUGUAGCAUCAGAUCGAUGCAUUGCAAAAUUAGGCCCC